AUGUGGAAACACGGCUCCUUGGCACUGUCUUCCUAUCUGCCUAGCAGAGUGAUAUUCCUUAGAACUUCAGGAGGUCAGUUGCUUCUGGUAGAGGAGAUGUUUUCUUUCUUCAUGCCACCUGGAUGUGACUUGAUGAGGGGUCCCCUAGCUCCUCCUGGCUGCUGCUUGCUGUGACCUAAUACAUGUUGGGUUUUGCUGUUAAAGAGGAGAGCAGGAAGACAGGUUGGUAUCAGAAACCAAGAGGGUGGGAGCCACUCAGCUUUUGAGCCUCUGAGAAGUAGUGUUUGUUGUGCCAAAAGAGUACAGUAGAAUUUAAGUUUCUCUUUAGAAAUUGCACUGAUGGAAAUAUUGCACAACGAAGGAAAACUUAUUUUCUGGAUGGCUUUCUUAGAGAUAGAAUAUUUGAAGCAUAUUUUCCUAGAGAUCACGUGGAUGGGGGCGAGCUGGCUGAGGCACCUCUCAGGCUGGGGCUGGGGGGUGAUGUGUAAGAAGCACUUGGGGCCACAAGAACCAUCCUGCACAGACAGCUAAGGCCUUCCCUUCUUGUGCCCAGUUUUUGGUUGAAGGGUGGUUUCUAUUAGGAAGAAUCUAUGUUUCAGUCAUGGAUGCUAAUAGAGAAAGUUGUUUUCCUACUGAAGAUUACUGAGUAGAAGUACUGAAAGAGUCCAUUUCUGGAUUUCAGAGGAGUUGAAGGCCAGUCUGUCUAGAAAGGCCAAGAUAACUCAGAAAGACCUGACAACUAGCUAUGUGAAUUCAGUUUUUUCCCACAAUGGUUUUCGAUGACACAUUUGGUAAUAGAAUACGAAAGCUCUAGCAUCUCCCUUCUGGCAAUGCUGGUUGUCUUCCCUGGUCCUUGUUUCUAUAGGGUGACCUGAUAUGAAUGUUGCAGGUAUCCUGGGAGCUAGAGUGCUGGGCACAUGUCUGAACCACCUGAGCCUGAAGGAGAAUGUGUGAGGCACCAGGCCCUGUGCUGCUGCCCGGCUGUUUUCUGAAAACCCUUGCUAAGAAGGUUGGGUUUGUCAUGCCUUGCUCAACUGAGUGAGGGAGAAAUUUUCAGGUUUAAUUUAACUGUAUGUACAUGCAGAGCCAAGAGUGACUGUCAACUCAGCUGGUUCCACAAAUCAGAUGUGAAUUUCCUAAAUUUCCUGUGUAAAGGGUCUGGGACUGAGCUGUAUAGUAUUUCAAGCUGCCAAUAAGCCAGCCCCUGACACUCUCAUAGAUACUCCUUUAAUUCAUAUGACACUGUGUUCAAUAAAUGACUGUCAAAAUUG